AUGGAGCAUUUGAUUGAAUUAUACAGCGGGUGGGAAAUCCAACUUCUUGUACUGCUCAGCUUCACAUUGCAGUCGUUCCUCUUCUUUGCUGGCAGACUGCGGCGCCGAAGCAGCAACAGCUUUCUCAGGCUCUGCCUCUGGGCAGUUUAUUUGGGGGCAGACUUGGUAGCAGUGUAUGCACUGGGCUAUCUCUCUAAGCGCCGAGAUGUCACCAUUCAAACGAACAUACUUAUAAGAACCCAACCACUAGCUUUCUUUUGGGCACCAUUCCUCCUCAUCCAUCUUGGUGGGCAGGAUACCAUCACUGCUUUCGCCAUGGAGGACAACAACUUGUGGUUGAGGCAUCUGUUGAAUCUGGUGAUGCAAGUUUCCCUAGCUUUAUAUGUUUUUUGGAAGUCCAUUGGUAAACACAGUGCGAACCUUCUGCUUGCGGGUAGCUUUGUGUUUGUUACUGGAAUUAUCAAGUAUGGAGAAAGAACAUGGUCUCUCAAGUGUGGCAGCCUUCAAAGUCUUGAGAGCUCAGAUGCACUGCGUUACAAAAAGGAAUUGCCUGAAGGAAUCUCUGGUGAUGGUGGCGUUGUUCGUGCUGCUCUGGAUUCCAUGCCAUUUGUCCUUGAUGUCUUGGCCGAACGCAACUUGCUUGAUCUCGGCAGAGAAUAUAUGAACAAAAUAGAUGACCCUGAGCAAAUGAUACGGAUGGUGAGGCUUCAGCUUGGCAUGAUAUACGACGAUCUCUACACUAAGUCUCUUGUGCUCAGAACGUGGAGUGGAGUUAUACUUAGAUGCAUCUCUCAGGCCUCGGUAAUAGUUGCCUUUGUGCUCUUCCAUGCAAGUAGCAGAGACAAUUAUAGCAAAGCUGAUAUUGCCAUCACCUAUUCGCUAUUUGUGGGUUGUUUUUUCUUUGAAGUCAGUUCAACGUUUGUUUCCAUGUUGUCACCUUGGACAUGGGCAUGGUUUAAGGUUAGAAGGUGUGAUGCACUCGCCAGUUUGUGGGUUUUCUUUUGCUCUGACAUCGGAUAUCCAAGGACGAUGAAACAGCAGCGGUGGCCAAAUUUGAUUGGACAGUACAACUUAGAUAGCUGGUUGACUGACAGCAGCCCGCAGCAAAGCAUAAUAAUGGCUGUGUUCAGAAAGUUGUUAGUGGGUUUGUUGGGUGUCAAAAAGAAGAAAAUAUUUUGGAUGAGCAAGCUAUUAGACACCGGUUACGUGGAUGUGGGUAGCAAGAUUGUGGAGUGUGUUGCAGAAGAGAUUAUUCUCUUGACAUUUGACUCCGAUGUUGAUAAACCCAAUGAAUGGCCAAAAAUUGGUUCCCUGUUGAAAGAGGCAUCAGAACUUUUUGCUAAUGAUUUUGGUAUGGCAAUUAUCUGGAUGCAUGCAGUUACUGAGUUGCUUUUGAAAAAAUGUGAAUCUUCCCAUUCGGAUAUAGAGGUUCAUGGUACAAGUGAAUUCGGUAUGAUGAUUUUGGUAUGUCGUAAGCUAUCCAAGUACAUAAUGUACCUUUUCGUUCACCACCCUUCCAUGCUGCCGCUCUCUAUCAGCCCAGCACCUACCCUGGCUCAGGCUCACGAAGUAUAUGAUGAUUUCACCAAGGAUAGUGUUGAGUUGGAGGUAAGCAAGGAAACGGUGGAGGAGGUAGCACGCAUGUGGACGCGGCUACUUGUUUACGCUGCUGGCAAGUCCAAGGCGGCGCCGCAUGUUGCGCUGCUGAGCAGAGGAGGAGAGCUCAUCACAUUCGCAUGGCUAAUCAUGGCCCACUGCGGGUUUGGGGAUACUCGCGUUAGAAGACUUCAACUUACCAAUAUUGAUGCCCACAUAGUGAGAGAAUUAGAUUUUACACCGCGACACCUCUUCAAUCUUCCCAUGGAAGAUCAGAUAUCGGACGCUGCUAAUCGCAGGUCAAAAUUGGAUGAUGAGAACACGAGUGGGAUGACGACUAAGUCUGAUCGCUUCGUGGUUGGUAGCCGUAGCUUUCCAUGA
rnacentral:rRNA from 1 species